rnacentral:rRNA from 1 species
UACGAAGGGGGCUAGCGUUGUUCGGAUUUACUGGGCGUAAAGCGCACGUAGGCGGAUCGAUCAGUCAGGGGUGAAAUCCCAGAGCUCAACUCUGGAACUGCCUUUGAUACUGUCGAUCUGGAGUAUGGAAGAGGUGAGUGGAAUUCCGGGUGUAGCGGUGGAAUGCGCAGAUAUCGGGAGGAACACCAAUGGCGAAGGCAGCUCGCUGGGACGGUACUGACGCUGAGACGCGAAAGCGUGGGGAGCAAACAGG